AGAAAUCAAUCCAACGCUUUAUUUUAUUUUCUAUGACGCCAAAAACGGUGGAUGGCAGUAAAGAAAAAUGGAGGGAGGAAUCCAAGCCCUAACCCUAAUAAUUUUUAAUAAAGCCCUGUAAUCCCCAUGCCGUUUGCUUUGUGCAGCGUACGCUCAUUAUGUAAAUGUCCCCAAAUGCAGAAAAAGUAUGAGUGAUGAAUUUAUUUGGAAGCCAUUGUUUCUUAGAAUGGUCGGAAUUGGAAAGAGAACAUACUGGUUGACAAAUGCUCUGCUAUACUGGAAGGUGGUUUUGCUGUUUUUGGAGGCAUUUGAUGCGGCCUAUGGAUAUAGUAACCAUAAUCCUACUACUGAGGAAGUACCAUCUUCUAUUAACAUUUGAAGAGGAAAAUGUCCCAAAAUGCAGCAAGCAGGUCAGAGUUCUUCAAAUCGGUCCACACUUAGAAUCGGCUCAUGUAGAGAGGAUGGCUCCAACAAAGAAGUAAAAGUGAGAGAAGAAUCAAUUUUUGUAGGUCAUAUUGCAGAGGACUUUUUGAACAUAGUAAUUUUGCGAACUUCUUUUUCAUACUGUGUUCCAAGUUCAAAGUUCAAAUCGUUUGUACUUAAUUGAAAUCUAUUAUUUCUAUCUCUGUCCUUUUUCACAAUCUGUGGGAGCAAAGCAAUAUGCAAAUAUGACUGGUGAUGGAUCUUUAUGAUGAAACAAGUGACUCUUCUAAUGGGGAGCAAAGCAAUAUGGAAAUAUGGCCGGUGAUGGAUCUUUAUGAUGAAACAAGUGAGUCUCUUAAUGGAUUUGGUCUCUUUGAUGUGUACAAGAAGAUGUUUAAUGAUGAGUGGAUAUGCAGUAACUCACAAUAGUUUCUCAGAGCUGGAGAUGGGGUUCUGAACCCUUCGAGUGAUCGAUCCACUGACUAUGCAGUCCCAUUGACUUAAGAUGCAAAGAUUUUGUUUUACAUGAAAAGAUGUCAUGAUGAUGUGGAUGUGCACCUCAAGUUUGAUCCAGAUGGAAAGACAUAUCAAGUAACUGUUAUAGUUGCAAAUCCUUAUUUUUUUGAAAGACAAAUUUAUUGUUUUGAUUUAUAGAUCUGCAGAGCAGAGAUGGGAAAUUAGAGAAAUUGACUUGGGUCUGGUGACAAUGGAAAAUUAGAGUUUAAGACAAACAUAGCAGAUUUUUAUAACAGAUUAAAAGGUUUUAAGCAAAUGCAAUUGGUGGCUGGGCAAUCUUUAUCAACGUUUCUCCUAGCUUGUGCUACAGUGAGAGCUUUCAAGAGAGAUAUAUAUGCAAAAUAUGAAAGCAUAGACUAUACAAGUAAAAUGUUUGAUGAAAUUGCCCAUUGAAAAGUAAUCUUUGGAAAUUUGAUGAUUGUAUCAAAUAGUUGAAGUAGGAAGAUUAGGGAGAAUUUGAUCAUUGCUGAUUCAUUUGUUACAUACGAGGCUUUUCCUUCCAGCCUUCUCAUCAGACUGUUUCAUUAGAUUGAACAAACACAAUUUUUAAUAAGCUAAACCAGCAUACAAUAAAUCUUAAUGUGGCUUUGAAUUAUGUGUAGUUUGAUGAUGAGUUUUAUAUGAUGUGUUAUUGAUCAA